rnacentral:rRNA from 1 species
GACGGAGGAUGCAAGCGUUAUCCGGAAUGAUUGGGCGUAAAGCGUCCGCAGGUGACAGUUCAAGUCUGCUGUCAAAGACCGGGGCUUAACUUCGGAAAGGCAGUGGAAACUGAACAGCUAGAGUAUGGUAGGGGCAACUGGAAUUCUUGGUGUAGCGGUGAAAUGCGUAGAUAUCAAGAGGAACACCUGCGGCGAAGGCGGGUUGCUGGGCCGACACUGACGCUGAGGCGCGAAAGCCAGGGGAGCGAACGGG